GCACGAGUAGCUCAGCGGUAGAGCGUCCCGCUUACACCGGGAUGGUCGGCGGUUCGAUCCCGUCCUCGUGUACCA
rnacentral:tRNA from 1 species